GACUGAUUUAGUGUUCUUUUUUAAUGGGGGUUGUUGGAUAUUGUAAAAAUAUAAAAUUUUUUAGUUUAACAUUAGGAUUUUUUUAAUACUUAUUAUGAUGUUUGUUGAGGAAGUUAUAGACGUGGAUUAGAUACCCACUUAUAUUUUUAUAUAUUUUUUUGAUCUCAGUGAAAACUGAAAGAAAUUGGCAGUUAAUUAUUUCCUUCUGGGGGAUUGUGUUUUAUAAACAGAUGGUCCACUAAGUGAUUUUUCUUUUAGUUGGUUGGUGUAUAUCCGGUUUUGAUAAAAAAUUAAUGUUUUUUAUUUAAAUUUUGUUUUAACCCAGGUCGAUAUGCUGCUUAUUAAGAGGUGAGUAGUGCAAUACAUUAUAAAGUUUUUGGAUUUAAUUUUAAAUGAUUAAGGACUCAGAAGUAAUAUAAAAUAGUAAUGUUUAUGUGAAGUUUAGGUUUAAUUAAGGUACACAUCGCCCGUCAUUUUCGGUGUUUAGCU
rnacentral:rRNA from 1 species